GAUCAUGGCUCAGGAUGAACGCUGGCGGCGUGCUUAACACAUGCAAGUCGAACGAAGCAUUCCUAACCCUUCGGGGGAGGGGAAUGACUGAGUGGCGGACGGGUGAGUAACGCGUGGGUAACCUGCCUUAUACAGGGGGAUAACAGUUAGAAAUGACUGCUAAUACCGCAUAACCCGCUAGUACCGCAUGGUACAGACGGAAAAGAAUUUAUCGGUAUAAGAUGGACCCGCGUCUGAUUAGCUAGUUGGUGAGGUAACGGCCCACCAAGGCGACGAUCAGUAGCCGGCUUGAGAGAGUGAACGGCCACAUUGGGACUGAGACACGGACCCAAACUCCUACGGGAGGCAGCAGGUGGGGAAUAUUGCACAAGUGGGGGAAAAACCCCCUGAUGCAGCAACGCCGCGUGAAGGAAGAAGUAUUUCGGUAUGUAAACUCCUAUCAGCAGGAAAGAAAAUGACGGUACCUGACUAAGAACGCCCCGGCUAACUACGUGCCAGCCGCCGC
rnacentral:rRNA from 1 species